GGAGUUGUGGCUCAGUGGUAGAGUGCUUGCCUGGUAUGUGUGAGGCCCUGGGUUCAAUUUUCAGCAGCACAU
rfam:Ictidomys tridecemlineatus contig039427, whole genome shotgun sequence.